UACGUAGGAUCCAAGCGUUGUCCGGAUUUACUGGGUAUAAAGGGUGCGUAGGCGGCCUUGUGCGUCAGAGGUGAAAUCUCCGGGCUUAACCCGGAGGGUGCCUUUGAUACGGCAGGGCUUGAGUGCGAGAGAGGAUGAUGGAAUUCCUGGUGUAGCGGUGAAAUGCGUAGAUAUCAGGAGGAACACCGGUGGCGAAGGCGGUCAUCUGGCUCGAAACUGACGCUGAGGCACGAAAGCGUGGGGAUCAAACAGG
rnacentral:rRNA from 1 species